GGGGGGUUUACGGCUCCAUGCAAAAGCGGCAAUUAAACCAAGAAUUUUGAUAAUGGCAGUCAAAAUAAAAACAUAGCUUCAAGCAGUGGUCUCAACUUGAGGUUCAAUUUAUCAAAAGUCUGACUGAUUCAAACGUGACAUUAAGAGAGAGAUUUGUAAAGAGAAACUGGACAAUCAUAGUGAAACUUUUUUAUUUUCAUUAAAUAUAGAACUUUAGUGUUUCACAUCAGUCUCACCACCUUAUAGGAGCUGAUGGAGACCAGAAACGGAGCAAAAAGAGAAUGAAUAUUGGACCGACGACCUCAGAGCACACACAGGCGUGUUUGUUGCGUGUCAGUAGGGAGACGUGUGCUGUGCAGAGGACCCAGCUUUCACAGCUCGGACGGCCUGAAAAAAAUCACUUUUUAAAGAGAAGAAAAAGAAGCUGUGCAGCGUGCUUACACAGCUGCCCCGCUCAAUAAACGGCAAACAGCGAGCGAGGGUGGGCGAGGGAGGGCGAGGGCGGGCGAGGGCCGGGCAGCAUGCGCUCUGUCAUUGCGCUCUCCUUCCCUCACAGGAGCGAGUUUGUGAGUUGACGCCAACGAGCAGAAGUCCAUCACGAGGCUCCCUGGGGAAGUUCCCCCGGGUUCAUUGUUCAGGUGGUUUGCGCUCGGCACUGCGCGUCCGUGCGGAUCCGCGCGCCCGUGAGGAGAUGCCGAAGCACGAGGUGGAGCCAAAGGGCCAAAGUGUUCAAAUCCUUCAGCAGCUCUUACAGUUUUUUCACGUUUGAAUGUAGCUUAAAAUCACACAAUUAUCCAAACCGUGCACUCGAGGAGCGAAACUCGGCCCAGAUUUGCACCACUAAUGCAAAACAAUACACACACUGAAAAAAGCGUAA
ensembl:lncRNA